CAGCAGCCGCGGUAAUACGUAGGGUGCAAGCGUUAAUCGGAAUUACUGGGCGUAAAGCGUGCGCAGGCGGUUCUAUAAGACAGAUGUGAAAUCCCCGGGCUCAACCUGGGAACUGCAUUUGUGACUGUAGAGCUGGAGUGCGGCAGAGGGGGAUGGAAUUCCGCGUGUAGCAGUGAAAUGCGUAGAUAUGCGGAGGAACACCGAUGGCGAAGGCAAUCCCCUGGGCCUGCACUGACGCUCAUGCACGAAAGCGUGGGGAGCAAACAGGAUUAGAUACCCCGGUAGUCCCUGUCUCUUAUAC
rnacentral:rRNA from 1 species